CUGGGCAAGGACCCAGCAUUGACAGCUGCUGCAACCCCUCCCAGAUCUUUCCUUUACUUCCUGGGGAUGGGGGUGGGAGAAGAAUUUACCACAGGGGUGCCCUUCUCCAUUCCCUGGAGAAGCAUCCCUGAAAAAAUUAUAGGGGAUGGAGAUUUAAUCCUGAGUUCUCUACACAUGUGCCUUGGAUGGCUGAACAUACCAGGACUCCCCAGAGAUGGAGAUCACCUUCCAACUCGGGAGUGAGGGGGUAAUAUUUCUUCCUACUUAUGAGAGGGGGUAGUGGUGGACCCAGCAACUUCCAGACAUAUGACCAUCGUAGAGAAUUAUGUGUGCCGUCCCCUCCCCAGUGGAUUAGUGAUCUCUGAAAAUCACAGGAGUCUUAGUGAGCAUACAGAGGGGUCAGGUUCUGAUCCUCAGAGGGAAAGGAAGGAGGAAAACCAAAACUGCUAAAAGCUCAAAACCCCUCCAGAGAAGUGAGGGCAAAAACACGCCAAGGGAGAUGGUAGCGUGAGCAAUAGAGAUUUAUCUCUUUACAGAUUCCUUCACAAGCAGCUGGAUCAAAGGCUUUCCAGAUUUUCUCAUAUGGCUGCUGAUGGCGUGUGUCAUGAUAGGAUUGGGGGCUGUGUUGGCAAGAAUGAUCUGGAGAUGCUUUAGAAGAAACACAGACUCCGAGAACCACUUUUAUGGCAAUGUUCUCUAUUUCCACAAAGAAACUAAGGGGGCCACGCCAAACAAGAACAAGCCUCUGCAAGGGACACCAGAGAAAAAGAGAGGAGAGAGGAUCUACUCUGCUGGUCUCCAACUCCCAACCCCUACCCCUAGGGCUUAGUCCCCUGGAACCGUCCCCCUACCCACUCCAGCCUGCAUCAGGCUAGUUCUUAGCCAAUAAAACCAGCUCACUCCCUGCCUCCAACCUUCACUUAACCUAGGAUUUCUUUGCUCAGUCCAGUGAGGUGUGGGGGAGAGGUCAGCCUUCCUGAGAAUGGGAAAGUGAGGGAGGACUAAGGUUUCCCAGAAGCUGGGAGGUUGCCUCUUCAGCCAAGUCAUGGAGGAUAGGAUCCAAUGCUUAAAGAUAAGCCAGAGCUACAUUUUUGGAAAUGAAAGUGGCAAAAAGGAGGAUGGCCCAAUUUUAUGGCCCCAAUAUUAUACUUGACUCUUAAUAUUUGUUAUAAAGGAUUUUUUUUUUGUUUAUUUUAGUGGGGAAGAGGAGAAAAUGGAGAAAAUAAAUGCUUGUUGAUUGAAAAAUAAAGUGAAAAAACAAAAGAACCAAGAUCAUCUGAUAUGACUCUAAUAUGUGAGACUGCUUCUCAUAUACUUUUUCCAUCAUUUCCUAGACACUACUAGAGCUUGCUCUCCCCUUUCCCCAUCCCUAAUGCCCAACUGACUUAGUAUCCUAUGGCUUCUCCGUAAGGUCUAGCAUUAAUAAACCAGAGGCCCUUGUUUGAUGAGGGCAGGAUGUAUGAUGUUUGAUGUAUGGCCUGUAAGACCCCAGAGCACCUGAGAAGGAAUAGGGGAAGGGAUGGAAUCUGAGAGACUGAAAUCUGAGGAGUUGGAAUUAAAAGACUUGGAUCUGAGGAAAGUAGAAUCCUUGCAACUGGAAUGGAAGAGACUGGGAGCUGAGAUUUGGGGAUAUUGUGAAAUGAGAAUAGACUCUGGGGGAGAAUUAGAUCUUGGGGGCUAAAAUUGGAAGGUAAAGUAGGGCUGAGCUGGAGAGACUGGGAUCUAUGGGCUAGUGUUGAGAUAAAUCUGAAAAAAUCUGUUAUUUGGAAGCUGGACUCUAGGGAAGCUAAAUUCUGGGUGGCUGAGAUGGAAGGGAGACCUGAGAGUGAAAAUAAGAGAAUAUAGAGGAGACACUGAAGAAAGGAGGUAGGAUUUUCUGCAGAACUGGCUCAUCUGAUGAAAAGGAUCUUCCAUAAGUUAUUUCUUCU
ensembl:lncRNA